rnacentral:lncRNA from 10 species
GGCUCCCCCGAACUUCUGUCCUCAUUUCAGGGCGACUUUGGGAACACAAUAGUCGACUCGCCGACGUUCCCUUAGACGCGUUGCCAUACGUCGUCACCCAUAGAAACGGCUUUCCGCGGGGCAGACUCCAAGUCUCGCCUGUGUGAGCGGGCAGGGGUAGCAGGAAAGGCUGUUUUUCAUUUCCAAGAGAAAACCGUCACCCCGCCCACCUCGAACCUCCUCCCAACAUCUCAGGAUAGAAACGCCGCGCUCAGGUGAAUGAGAAAUGUUCUGAUACAGGAAAGAGGAGUUCGUGUUUCUUUCAGAAGGUGACCGUUUUCCUCCUUCUGAGGUCACGAGCUGUCCGUCCGAUGCCCAGAAUUCCGAGGCCUGAUGUGGCGUGUUUCCGGUAGCUGGGCUCCUCGGAGAGCUGUGGGAAGAGGCGCGGGCGACCGGGGGCGUCAGCGAGCCCUGUCUUCGCCUGCCUUCGCCGGCGUGGACUCUUCCCAGUGCCCGUCUUCCCCCGCGAAGUAAUAGUGUCCUGUAUUUCCUGACUGUAAGAAGAAUAGUGCUUUUAAAAAAUGCCUGCUCCCUGUAAUAGCAGCAGUAGUUCGAGAGUACAUACAUGUUUAUAAAAGAAA